GGCUUCGACUUCACAACGUGUAAUCUUCUUGUUGCAAUUGAGCAACAGUCGCCAAAUAUUGCUGGUGGCGUUCAUGUAGACAGAGCUGAGGAAGAUGUUGGUGCUGGUGAUCAGGCUUUGACUACAAGACAUGCAAUGUGCUCUUGGCCCUGGAGCAACAGUGUGUGGAAAUUGCUAAUGGGGUGCACGUUGGGCGCAGCGACGACGAUAUAGGGGCGGGAGAUCAGGGUCUUAUGUUUGGAUAUGCUACGGAUGAAACUGAAGAAUGCAUGCCAUUGACUGUUGUCUUGGCUCACCGUCUCAAUCAGAAGAUUGCAGAAUUGCGCAGAGAUGGCACUUUCUGGUGGGCCCGCCCAGAUACAAAGACACAGAUUACAGCAGAGUACUACUUUGACCAGGGUGCUGCCAUUCCCCUGCGUGUGCACACAGUGGUUGUCUCUGCCCAACACUCUGAGAAGGUAACCUUGGACCAGCUGAGAGCUGACAUUAUGGAGAAGGCUAUCAAGUCUGUCAUCCCAGAACAGUACCUUGAUGAAAACACCAAAUACCACAUCAACCCUUGUGGAGACUUCAUCAUUGGAGGACCUCAGGGUGAUGCAGGUCUCACAGGCAGGAAGAUCAUUGUUGACACGUAUGGUGGUUGGGGAGCUCAUGGAGGCGGUGCUUUCUCUGGCAAGGACUACACGAAGGUGGAUCGCUCUGCUGCCUACGCUGCUCGAUGGGUUGCAAAGUCUCUGGUGAAGGGGGGACUCUGCAAGAGGUGUCUUGUUCAAGUAUCCUAUGCAAUUGGAGUAGCUGAGCCAAUCAGCAUCAGCAUCUUCCAUUACGGCACAUCACAGUACACGUCAAAACAGCUGCUAGAAAUUGUCAACCAGAACUUCGACUUGAGGCCAGGCCGUAUUGUAAAGGAAUUGGGCUUGAAGCGCCCAAUCUAUAGGGACACUUCUUGUUAUGGACACCCAGUUCCCAUGGGAGAAACCCAAAGCAAUGACCCUUCCAAAGCUUUAAGUAAAUCUUGUCUCCUCCCAAAGAAAAAGAUAGGGAUGUAAGUGGCUUCCUCAUAAUAUGAGAAAAUAACUGCUUAAAUCUGGAGGAGCCACACUUAUAGAAAUUUAGUUGACCAGUUAGUGUAGUGCAAAAUAUUUAAUCUUUUUAAAUUGCAUUUGUUGGAGUUUGUGAUAGCACAUCCUUGUGUCAGGCAGGCACUCGGGCACUGUGUAUGUGCGACCUGGUGAUCGUAGGUGCUAGGCCAGGGGGUGCCUGGUGUCACCCCCGGUCUGGCCUGCCCCUAACCUCGAGGACCCCUGCAAGAUGACCACAGUUUCAAGUUGGUACAGAUGAUGGAUCUGUUUUGCUAUGUAAACAUCCUUUGUUUGUGCCAGACUUGACACUGCAAAUGUGUAGGAUUAGCAAGAUUUUCCUCUAGAGUUUUUUAUACAAGAUCUACGCAUUUGUGUUGUGUUUACGAAAAUUCUAAUGGAAAAGAGCAUUUCCUUAAACACUCCGGCCACCUUUCUGGGAUGGGGCAUCACUUGCUGACACAUUCCUCGAGACUUGAGAGUUAGGGUCUUUUUAGGUUUUAUCCUUUUAUUUAGAUUUAGUAGCUUAUUGAAGAUGUAUGUCUACAUUGUAUUUGUUAUGAUUAAGCCGAUUCUAUACACGCAGAAUGUAUACUAUUCGGCUGAUUAAAAAGUUAUUCGUGUAA